CUAAAACGUUAACAUUGACAUUGAAAUUCCAAAAGCGGCAUAAAGGGCAGGAAAAUGGGGACGCGGAUGAUGCAGAAGACGAGAAAUUUCAGGAAGAGGACCUUCGAAGAAGAUGAGGAUAGCAAAGCAUCAGACGACGACGAACAAGAAAGAAGAUUGGCAUUAGAAGAGGUGAAAUUCCUGCAGAAACAGAGGGAGAGGAAGUCAGGAAUCCCUGCAUUAGCAACAACUUCGCAAACUGCAACCACAGUAGCUGCCAAAUUAACCGAAAAGACCGAUGGAGAUGGCGAAAAAGAAGAGCUUGUUCUUCAAGACACUUUUGCUCAAGAAACUGCUGUCAUGGUCGAAGAUCCCAACAUGUUGCAGUAUGUUGAGCAAGAAUUGGCCAAGAAAAGAGGGAAGAAUAUUGAUGCAACUGAUCAAGUUGAGACGGAGUUGAAGCGUGCUGAAGAUGAACUAUACAAAAUUCCGGAGCAUCUUAAAGUGAAAAAGCGAAACUCAGAAGAAAGCUCUACUCAGUGGACUACUGGGAUUGCGGAGGUUCAGCUACCCAUUGAAUACAAACUGAGAAAUAUUGAGGAAACAGAGGCAGCCAAAAAGCUUCUACAGGAGAAAAGGCUAAUGGGUAGACCAAAAUCAGAAUUUAGCAUCCCUUCCAGCUACAGUGCUGAUUAUUUCCAACGCGGCAGGGAUUAUGCUGAGAAACUUCGACGAGAUCAUCCUGAGCUGUACAAGGACAGGAGUUUGCAGGAUGAUGCUGUUGCUGGAUCCAAACCAGCUGAUAAGAGCACUGAUGCAGCUGGACGGAGGCUAGCUGCAACGGAUGAGUUCAUGCUAGAGCGCUUCCGAAAACGAGAACGUCAUCGGGUCAUGCGAAGAUAGCAUGCACUUCAAACAUGCGACAUUCUGAGAAAAGUAACUUGGCAAGGAUGGCUCAUUUUUUGUUGUAACCUUCGCUGCUUCAAAUUCUUAGCAACAUAAGAUGGUAUGGUCACUGCAACCACUCAUAUGAUUCAACUUGCCUGUAUGGUCAUGCAGCAAGACAGGGAUUGGGUAAUUAGAUUGGAAAUGUCACCAAUCCCUCGUUUUGCAAAUAACUAGCAGCUCGUUCAAAUCAUGGUUGUCAAUUGACAAAUUGAGGUCGACGGUACUUUACAUCUAUAAGGUAUGGGUUGAAGGUUGUGGCAGAAUGGGGCUUAGCUGUAGUUUUAAUUCAAUGUUCUUGCGUGUUUGGUUUAAGCAACCUAUAUCGUAUGAAGGCUUUGGUUUUUCUUUUCAUCCGUGAAACUAUUUCACCUGUUUUAAAAACUAAGAAAGUGUAGAACCGUGUUUGUUCACAUCUGCAUUGCAGCGCAGAUUAUAUGAUAAUGUAGAUUAGCUCUAAUGAAAUAAAGCCAUGCUCGAUCCAUUUGCCAUGG